rnacentral:rRNA from 1 species
ACGAACGCUGGCGGCGUGCUUAACACAUGCAAGUCGAACGGAAAGGCCCUGCUUUUGUGGGGUGCUCGAGUGGCGAACGGGUGAGUAACACGUGAGUAACCUGCCCUUGACUUUGGGAUAACUUCAGGAAACUGGGGCUAAUACCGGAUAGGAGCUCCUGCUGCAUGGUGGGGGUUGGAAAGUUUCGGCGGUUGGGGAUGGACUCGCGGCUUAUCAGCUUGUUGGUGGGGUAGUGGCUUACCAAGGCUUUGACGGGUAGCCGGCCUGGGAGGGUGACCGGCCCCCUGGGGACUAAGAAACGGCCCAGAAUCCGACGGGAGGCAGCAGUGGGGAAUGUUGCACAAUGGGCGGAAGCCUGAUGCAGCAACGCCGCGUGCGGGAUGACGGCCUUCGGGUUGUAAACCGCUUUCGCCUGUGACGAGGCGUGAGUGACGGUAAUGGGUAAAGAAGCACCGGCUAACUACGUG